AGGACGAACGCUGGCGGCGUGCUUAACGACAUGCAAGUCGAGCGGAAAGGCCCUUCGGGGUACUCGAGCGGCGAACGGGUGAGUAACACGUGAGCAACCUGCCCCUGGCUCUGGGAUAGCCUCCGGAAACGGGGAUUAAUACCGGACAUUCUCCUCCUUCCGCAUGGUUGGGGGUGGAAAGUUUUUCGGCCAGGGAGGGGCUCGCGGCCUAUCAGCUUGUUGGCGGGGUAACGGCCCACCAAGGCGACGACGGGUAGCCGGCCUGAGAGGGCGACCGGCCACACUGGGACUGAGACACGGCCCAGACUCCUACGGGAGGCAGCAGUGGGGAAUAUUGCGCAAUGGGCGAAAGCCUGACGCAGCGACGCCGCGUGGGGGAUGAAGGCCUUCGGGUUGUAAACCCCGUUUCACCAGGAGCGAAUCAAGACGGUACCUGGGGAAGAAGCGCCGGCUAACUACGUGCCAGUAGCCGC
rnacentral:rRNA from 1 species